AGCGAACGCUGGCGGCAGGCCUAACACAUGCAAGUCGAACGAACCCUUCGGGGUUAGUGGCGGACGGGUGAGUAACACGUGGGAACGUGCCUUUAGGUUCGGAAUAACUCAGGGAAACUUGUGCUACUACCGAAUGUGCCCUUCGGGGGAAAGAUUUAUCGCCUUUAGAGCGUCCCGAGUCUGAUUAGCUAGUUGGGGAGGUAAUGGCUCAACAAGGCUACGAUCAGUAGCUGGUCUGAGAGGAUGACCAGCCACAUUGGGACUGAGACACGGCCCAAACUCCUACGGGAGGCAGCAGUGGGGAAUCUUGCGCAAUGGGCGAAAGCCUGACGCAGCCAUGCCGCGUGGAUGAUGAAGGUCUUAGGAUUGUAAAAUCCUUUCACCGGUGAAGAUAAUGACUGUAGCCGGAGAAGAAGCCCCGGCUAACUUCGUGCCAGCCGCCGCCGUAAAAC
rnacentral:rRNA from 1 species